rnacentral:rRNA from 1 species
GACGUAGGGUGCGAGCGUUGUCCGGAUUUAUUGGGCGUAAAGAGCUCGUAGGCGGUCUGUUGCGUCCGCUGUGAAAACCCGGGGCUUAACCCCUGGCUUGCAGUGGAUACGGACAGACUAGAGGUAGGUAGGGGAGAAUGGAAUUCCCGGUGUAGCGGUGAAAUGCGCAGAUAUCGGGAGGAACACCGGUGGCGAAGGCGGUUCUCUGGGCCUUACCUGACGCUGAGGAGCGAAAGCGUGGGGAGCGAACAGG